rnacentral:lncRNA from 1 species
UUAAAGGUAGGUUGCAGUCGCAUCUGCGCAUGCGCUGGACUUUGUUUACGUUUUUUGUUUUGAUCCACAUUAAUUAUAUAAGAUGAAGUAUAUGACGAGUUCAAAGUAACAUUCCACAUAAUUUGUGACCGAGGAGUGCAAUGUUUUACAAUACUUCGCUGCAUUUAUUGUACAUUUCUACACUGGAAAUUUUUGUACACAAUCUCAUACUGUAACUCUUUAACUGUAAACAUUGUGAAUAAACAGGCCGCUUUGAACCUUGUGUGACUUGCUAUAUGCAACAGCUGGGGCGGCGAACCGAAAUCCCGAAGGUGUGAGUUCGAAUAAUUUGUGUUUAGUGUUUACCUUUGGAGUUUGUGUCUAAUCACGAAAAUAGUUCAUGUGGUAUCAAUCCCUCGAAACAUGUUGCCAGAGUUGUUGUUGUCAUUAUGACAGAAGCACUUGGGGAAAGCUUUUCGCUUGACGAAAUUCGAAACAAGUGUGAUUGAGAAUGUGGCUGCAGUUCCUGUCUUCGUGGCAAAGCCAAGGGCGAAAUUUUUGACCGUGCAAAAGCUGGAUAAACAGCUUUUGUUCAAGCUCGUGCGCUAUGGAGAUAAUUUUGGAUGCUGUUUUAAUAUAAACAACACUAGAAGAGUUCAAUAGAUUGACAGUGACGAGAGUACGAGACGCUAAGAUUAUAUUCAACUUUUUUGUGUUAUAAAAAUGUAUGUUUUGAAAUUAUGAACUGGAAGUAUGAAUUCAUUGAUAUUACUCUCAUAUUGACACUAAAUGAUGAUAUUCUUGUGACACUGAAUGAUCUAAUAUUAGCUUCAACAAUUCUGGUGAUCAGGUUACUUCAUCAUGUCUCUUCAAGACGGAGGACAAUUGCUAAAUAUAUGCUUGUUUCGCUCUAUAUCAGAGCUCAUCAGAAUGCCCAGGAAACACUGAUGAAAUUUUGAUUUACAUCAACGAAUCUUUCUUUUUAUUAACAGAUUUAUUGGGUUAUAUGGUAAUAUAUUUAUACAGACAUUAAAGGAGAACUCCAAGGGGUUAAAAGCACAAACAUGACUCCAGGGCUUUAUUUAUAGCCUUUAUAUGCCCCCUGAGAAUACUGAAUAUAGCUACUAAAUAUAAUUACAGUUUGUAACAUGAACAAUCAGAUAAGCACCAUUUACAUCAGGGUCUGAAAUUUAUAUUUUUUCUCAGUAUCUAAAGGGGAUAGCAGGAUUCAAAGUUUAGUAUAUCCUAUCCCAUCCAAAUAAGUUUCCAUAACACUCACUGUUACAAAUUACAAUAACAACUGAGGAGACUCCACAGUCCACAGUCAACAACAAAUAAACAAUUAAUCCACAUAAUCCUUCAACAAACUUCUAUAUGCUAGUCCUCAUUGAGGAAAGACUGGUGGUAAACUGAUAAUAUUCAAAAACUUUCAGGAGCCCAUCAAAGGAAAUUUUUUAGUAUCCAGUCAGGAUAGUAUCAUUCAUAAUUUGGUAUCCAAAACCAAAUUUUUGGUAUCCUGUGGAUAUCGGGACACUAAAAUAUAUUUCAGACCCUGUACACAAGAACCUGUUUAGGCUAACUUGGAAAAAAAUCUAGGUUCUUAUUCGCAGGGUUUUACUGUGUUGUCUAAUUUUGUCCCAAAACAGACCAUGCAUGCACGGCAGCCUGUUCUGGCAACAUAGAUAAUGGGAUGGUGCCACUCUUUGUGACACAAAAUCAGGCAAUUAUAGUACAAUAUGAACUGGCAAGUGUCUGGCACCUUAAAAUCAGAUUCCUUUGUGUAGAUGGAGCUCAUAAGCCUUGGCUGGCAAUCCAUCUAGGAGAAAGAAAGCUCUGAUUUCAAACCCCCAGACCCCACUUUUGGACAAGACAUGUAUUGUAACUAUAUCAGUCAUGAUCAUCUAAAAAUGCCAGUAUAUAUGCAUUUAUACAAAGCUGUAUGCACUGUAAAGCUACACUUUAUUUAUCGCAAUGACAUUUUCAGGGUUCUGGAUCAUUUUCAUUACUUUGUGAAGAGUUUAUUCUCUUUGAUUUUUAUACAUUUUUAGAUCUGACUGGUCUCCAUGUGAUAAAAUAAGAACCUGAAAUACUAGCCUAAACAGAUUGAGUGUCUAAAUACUGA